UACGGAGGGGGCUAGCGUUGUUCGGAAUUACUGGGCGUAAAGCGCGCGUAGGCGGCUUUGUAAGUUAGAGGUGAAAGCCCGGAGCUCAACUCCGGAAUUGCCUUUAAGACUGCAUCGCUAGAAUCAUGGAGAGGUGAGUGGAAUUCCGAGUGUAGAGGUGAAAUUCGUAGAUAUUCGGAAGAACACCAGUGGCGAAAGCGGACUUCUGGGUUGUUACUGACGCUGAGGUACGAAAGCGUGGGGAGCAAACGGG
rnacentral:rRNA from 1 species